rnacentral:rRNA from 1 species
CUAGCCGUAAACGAUGGGUACUAGGUGUGGGAGGUAUCGACCCCUUCCGUGCCGGAGUUAACGCAAUAAGUACCCCGCCUGGGGACUACGAUCGCAAGAUUGAAACUCAAAGGAAUUGACGGGGGCCCGCACAAGCGGAGGAACAUGUGGUUUAAUUCGAUGAUACGCGAGGAACCUUACCCGGGCUUGAAUUGCAGAGGAACAUAGUUGAAAGAUUAUGGCCGCAAGGUCUCUGUGAAGGUGC